CAGUGCGUGAAAAUGCCCCAGCCAUUUUAGUGUCUAGUGAGAGUCCCGAACGACGUCGUUUUUGAGGUGAGUGUUUUCUUCUUCAACUUCCGUUUCUUUCCGCAUUUUUCUGUUUCAGUUUCAGUUUCUCCCGCACCUCUCUCGCGCACGUCUCUCUUUUCUUUUCGGUUUCAUCUUUAUUUCCAGUUGUUGGCAUUAUUUUGAGGUUCCGAAUCCCAUGCCCUAGACUUCCUCAUUGUUUCGGUUUCUCUCUUGCGCUGCAUCUUAUUCCAGUGAGUUGCCGUCUGCUGCAUCUCUGUUUCUCUCCAUUUUUACGUUUCUAUUUUUCCUCUGCAAGUCAGCGAGCAGUACCUCUCAUUCCUCCAUUUUUCGACUGUUUCUAUUUUGGCCGUGAGGUUUGGGUUGCGUUUGUGUGUCUGGGUGUUGUGCGUGGUGAGUCUUCAGGCGGUGCCGUUGUUUUCUUCCCCACUCCGAAACCCCACUUUGACGCUCAUUUCUCUUACAGUCCACUUUGUUUCACUUCUGUCCGCAUUGUGUUUAAUCUCCUUGCUGUGGCUUGGCAUUGAACUCUGUUGAGCGGGUGACGAGACUAAUAGAGGUCAUUUUCAAGGCUUAGAUAAUACGCUACAAGAGUCAGGUA